rnacentral:misc_RNA from 1 species
AUAAAUUUUAAUCAAUUUGAAGAUGGUUUCGAUUUUAAUAAUAUUAAUUAGGUUUAGGUUGGAUAGUUAUAUUUUUAUUAGUGCUUUAAGCGUUACUAUCCUUAAUGGAUAAAUUAUUUGCAUCUUCCUAUGUGGUUAAAAUUUACACGAAUUGAAAAAUAUUUCUCCCAAUACAUAGAAAAAUGAAUUUUUUUAUUUUAUUUUUCACUCAAUUUUAAUAAAAUAUCUAAGUUUUUAAUUGUUAUCAGUGGUGUAAGGAAUACUCUAAUCCCCGUGUAUAUACAAAGGAGACACUUCAUGAACUCUGUGACUCUUUUUCUGCCACCUAGCACAGCAUACUAUCCACCAUGAAACUGGGUAUCAUGUUAGCCAUGGUCACUUUUCUUGCACGCAAAGAUUUGGAGGAAUGAGUUGAAGCAAAAUUCGAAAACAAGAAGCUAGCGAUGUGAUUCAACGCUAAUCACUCUACG